rnacentral:misc_RNA from 1 species
CAGAGAUGCUGCUAAUGACAAUAAUACUGGUGUUGAUGACAUACCAGCAGUAGGAGGUAGCGGGGAUGGAAUUGAGAAUGAAAACGACGCAGCGUUGACGACUGACCUUUCUCUGGGAAGCAAUGGAAGUGGAAUGGACAGGGAUUUUGGAAAUUCUCAAGGGCAAGCAGGGCAAGAGAAUCUUGGACAGGAGAUUAGUGGCGGAGAGGUAUAGGGAAAUAUCAUGAGGAGGAGGAUACCUUGGUCUAGGAGCUCCCAGAUGGGAGGAGUUACUCUCUACAGAAGGACUCAGAAAUGGGAAUCUCAUAGCUGGUAAUUUUAUUUUAAUUUUUUUUUUUCAUAAAUUUAAGUUUCUGUUCUGGUAGCUCUGAGUUUUAUCAAAUCUGAAUUCCUUUCUGUAAAAUGACAUCUUUUACUAUUUUCCAUUGAAGUAGACAUGCUAGUGUUAAGUGUGCUUUGAUUACUUUUGUAGUUAAGCCUAACCGGUUAGUCCAAUAGCUGAAGGCAUAUAAUUCGGUUCAAGUCUCUAAUCUCCCUUGCUAAAAAGAAGUCAAAUGAAGUUUAAACCGGAAUGAAAUAUUCAUUUGAGUGGGUUUCCAAAUUUGGAUAAUUUUCUUUCGUUCUCCAUUUUGUGCAGGGAUGAGGGGAAAUUAGUCCACCUGGGUAUAGAUGUGAUAAGUGAAUAUUAUUUUGCCAUUGUCUACUCCUUGUAUACUUGACUGACUUUGAUAUUGUGCGUUUACUUAGAUGAAUUCUGUAACACCCCAAUUUAUGGAAAAAUAUAAUUAUGGAUGUCUUAGAAAUUGGAGUAUCAAUUUAUAAAGAUUUGGGGAGGAAUUUAAUUUGACAUUUGGGCUUAAAGUGGAAAUAUUAAGAGUUUUGGUGGAAAAUAAAGUUUGGGAUAAAUUGAGGGACCAAAGGGUAAUUUUGUUAAAAAAAAUCUAUAAGUGGGCGGCCUACCCACGUGAAGUCUCAACAGCAAAUAAAUAAAUUAAAA